rnacentral:lncRNA from 1 species
AUAAGGCUUUGUUUGUUGUUACGCCUAAGCAUCUUCAUACGCGAUGGAGCUGAAAACACUGAACCCUUGCCUCUCCCUCUCUCCCUCUCGCAUCCGGACCACACUGCCUCACCUGGAAGAGUAAGCGUUGCCUCAUUUGCAGGCGAUGGAUCCCAGUCCAAGAAACUAAAAGGAAAUGCGGGCGAAUGUUUCCCACUUAAUGGGGUGUUAAUUGAGUAUUCAGCGAACAUGAAAAGGAGUGGAGGAGAAAGUGCCUGGAGGGUGAAGACCAGGAUGUGGAGAGCAGGCAAGAAAGCACGUGUCCUAAGUUGCGUAGAGAGUUCAAGCAACGUGAUGACAAAAGCAGGAAUCUCACGGACUCUCACAAAGAGGAAAAGAAAGUGCACUUCCUUCCGUGUCAAAGAUGCACCUGGGCUAUUUUCAGCGCUCAUCAUGGAUCCAGCCAGAGAGUGUGGGGUGUUCUGACUGUUCACUCUGUGUGUUUACCUCUUAAAUUGACCUUGAGUUUCAUUUCUAAAAACAAUGGUGCUCAUCUGGGAUUUAUUCCAAAGAAACUUUUUUUUUUUCCUCACUCAAGUGACUUAUUAUUUGAGAAGUCCUCACUGCCUGUGGCUAAAAAAAACAGAUCAGCACUACUGGGGAAGAAAAUGCACGACCAGAGACACUUCUAAGAACCCAAGGUCCUACCAGACCACCAUCGCCCUCAUGCUUCGCUGUGCAUGCUUUUUGCAGAGGACGGCGGAUGCCCUGCGGGAAAUUACCAUCAGAGCUGGAGUGAUCAUCUCGGAGCCAGACUUUCCAGGUCAUCGCAGAAAGAAUCUCUCGCGUCAGUUAUUUGUCCUUGACAAAAUGGACUAUGAUAUUUCCCAAUGCUUUGAAAAGUUGUGUGUUGACAAAAAUAAACAAAGACUUUUUUUUUUUCUCCUCAUAUAUACAUCUGUCAAUAUUUUACAAUAUUUUGUAAGCAGCCUUGAUACCGGGCACUUUGGGGCAUCUUGAAUAUACAGAAGUUUUCCCAUGCGUACUGUACAUUCAUUAAUCAUUGCACCAGAAUCCCUUUUCUACCAAAUCAGGUUCUUCCUCCUUAAAUCUUCAACAAAGACAUUUUUUGACAAAGAUGUUUUUUGAAGGAGCGUGAGCAAACCCAAAGUGAAGUCCAGAGAGAGAAGUUCUACUUACACCGAAGUUACGACCACAACCAUUUAUGGAAUGUUCCUGUUUUUUGUUUGGUCUUUUUUUUGGGGGGGGGGUGCCCACAGCAUGUGGAAGUUCUGGGGCCAGGGAUCCAACCUGUGCCACAGUAGUGACUCGAGCCACUGCAGUGACGAAGCUAGAUCCUUAACCUGCUGAGCCACCAGGGAACUCCUGAAAUAGUCCUCUCUUAUCCCCCAAAGGCAGAGAGAGGAGAAGGGAAAGAGUGACAGAGAGAGGAAUUCAACCCACAUUCCUGAUUAUCCAGGCCCUCAGGUCUCUGAGGAAGGGUUUUCUGAAUCAGUAAUGAAGCAUCAAUUACGUUAAGUAAAGGGGCAUUAGAGACGUGAGGAAACCAUGAGUCAUUGAAAGGUCUGGGGGAUUACUAGAAGCCUUACAUUUAGCUUACGAUUUAACUGAUCUCCUUUCAUUUGGUCUUCUGGAUCAUAUUUGAUUUAGAGCUUUUUACAGUAUGAACCAUACAUAGUAUUCUUGCCGUUGACAUGCUGCUUAAUUCCCUGAAGUCUUCAUCAAAUUCCGUUUUAAUAUAUCUUUCAUCACUCUAUUAUAGUCUGUCUGGUGAUGUCAGCUUUUCUGAAGAUAAGUCUAUCCUGCUGGUAUUUUUUUUUUUUAUUCCUUCCACAGAGUUUGAACUCUAUGAUCUGUGCUCUUUUAUUUUGUAAGGUGUAAACUUUUUCCACACCAAAAGUUUUUUUCAUAAAAAAGACCUGACAUCUCUUUACAGAUGUUAAUUAAUUCCCUCACUGGGAAGUACUCCAUGUAUUUUGCAUCCUUGGGAAACGGGGACAGAGAGCGAAGUGACAUAUUGAAAUCAUGUAAAAACUCGGCGCCAGAGCUCGAAUUAUUACCCAGGAGAUAAAUUCGCACUCUUCGCUUCAGAGAGCAAUUGUAUUCUGAACUUGACACAAAUAAUGAUCAAAAAAUCAAAUCAUCAAGUAGAAGAGACCUGCCUGAGUUCCCGCCACUGACAUGCAAACCUACAGAGAAACUUACUCUUCAAGCAGGGGUAGCCGCUAAGAUGGACAGUGAAACUCGUAUUACCAAGAUUUUAUUACCGUGUGCAUACACACACACAGCAGGAUUUUUAGUAUCCUACUACGAAGUGUUAUUUGAAAUCAUUAAAACUAAACUGCACCUGUCAAAAUAAAUCAACCAAUACGUUUAGUGAUUCC